rnacentral:rRNA from 1 species
AUACGGAUGGUGCAAGCGUUACUCGGAAUCACUGGGCGUAAAGCGCAUGCAGGCGGUCUAAUAAGUUGGAAGUGAAAGCCUAUGGCUCAACCAUAGAACUGCUUCCAAAACUGUUAGACUAGAGUCUGGGAGGGGAAGAUGGAAUUAGUAGUGUAGGGGUAAAAUCCGUAGAGAUUACUAGGAAUACCAAAAGCGAAGGCGAUCUUCUGGAACAGUACUGACGCUGAGAUGCGAAAGCGUGGGGAGCAAACAGGAUUAGAAACCCUAGUAGUCC